rnacentral:miRNA from 1 species
CACUAGAUUGUAAGCUCCUGGA